rnacentral:rRNA from 1 species
UAAAAUCUACUUGAUCUUGACACAAUCCUACUUGGAUAACUGUGGUAAUUCUAGAGCUAAUACAUGCAUUAAAGCUCUGACCUCACGGGAAGAGUGCACUUAUUGGAACAAAACCAAGCGGCUUCGGCUGUUUCUGGUUGACUCAUAGUAACUGAGCUGAUCGCACGGUCUUGCACCGGCGACGUGUCUUUCGAGUAUCUGCCGUAUCAACUUUCGAUGGUAGUGUAUCUGACUACCAUGGUGAUCACGCGUAACGGAGAAUAAGGGUUCGGCUCCGGAGAGUUCGCCUGAGAAAUCGCGAACACAUCUAAGGAAGGCAGCAGGCGCGAAAAUUACCCACUCUCAGCACGAGGAGGUAGUGACGAAAAAUAACGAGACCGUUCUCUUAUGAGGCCGGUCAUCGGAAUGGGUACAAUUUAAACCCUUUAACGAGUAUCUAUGAGAGGGCAAGUCUGGUGCCAGCAGCCGCGGUAAUUCCAGCUCUCAAAGUGCAUAGAAUUAUUGCUGCGGUUAAAAAGCUCGUAGUUGGAUCUGUGCCAUAGGACGUGGUCCACCUUCUGGGUGCGUACUAUGUUCCUAGGCUUUUUGCUGGUUUUCCCGUCGUAGCCUUAACUGGUUGCGGCGGGUGACUGGCGAGUUUACUUUGAGAAAAUCAGAGUGCUCAACACAGGCGUAUCGCUUGAAUGAUUGUGCAUGGAAUAAUAGAAAAGGAUUUCGGUCCUCUUUUAUUGGUUUUGUGGACUGAGAUAAUGGUUAACAGGGACCAACGGGGGCAUUCGUAUCGCUGCGUGAGAGGUGAAAUUCUUGGACCGUAGCGAGACGCCCUACUGCGAAAGCAUUUGCCAAGAAUGUCUUCAUUAAUCAAGAACGAAAGUCAGAGGUUCGAA